rnacentral:rRNA from 1 species
AGUGAACGCUGGCGGUAGGCCUAACACAUGCAAGUCGAACGGCAGCACAGGAGAGCUUGCUCUCUGGGUGGCGAGUGGCGGACGGGUGAGGAAUACAUCGGAAUCUACCUUUUCAUGGGGGAUAACGUAGGGAAACUUAAGCUAAUACCGCAUACGACCUAGGGGUGAAAGUGGGGGCCCGCAAGGCCUUACGCGAUUAGAUGAGCCGAUGUCCGAUUAGCUAGUUGGCGGGGUAAUGGCCCACCAAGGCGACGAUCGGUAGCUGGUCGGAGAGGAUGAUCAGCCACACUGAAACUGAGACACGGUCCAGACUCCUACGGGAGGCAGCAGUGGGGAAUAUUGGACAAUGGGCGCAAGCCUGAUCCAGCCAUACCGCGUGGGUGAAGAAGGCCUUCGGGUUGUAAAGCCCUUUUGUUGGGAAAGAAAUCCUGUCGAUUAAUACUCGGUGGGGAUGACGGUACCCAAAGAAUAAGCACCGGCUAACUUCGUGCCAGCAGCCGCAGUAAGAC